ACUACUAGAAAACACAUUUUGCCAUCCACCACAUGUGAUCACAAUUGUUGCUAAUGUAACCACAAGUUACCCUAAAAUUCUAUCACACUACAAUGCACUUCACAAAACAUUGCUAGUAAACACCACAAUGAUAAAGUGCACAUUCUUUUAAUGUUCCAAAAAAUGCAUUGUGGUGUGUAACACAAGAUAGAUGGCAAGUUGUGGUGGCAAUAGCAAAAAUUAUAGUGGCAUAAGCAACAUUCUUAAAUAAAACCAUAAAUAUGUAUAUUAAUGAUGACUA
rnacentral:lncRNA from 1 species